rnacentral:tmRNA from 1 species
AAUGGUUUCGACGGGGGCAAGUUGCUCCUGGGAAGCGAGUCGAAGGGAUCCUGUACCUUCGUAAAAAAACUGGGAAUUUAAAUAUAAUUGCAAACGAUAAUUUUGCAUUAGCUGCCUAAUAGUUGCAGCUCGUCAGCCUAAGAGUCCCACGACUUAGGGUCUGGCGUCGACAGUGGGGAACCGAGCCUUACAAAGCUUUGAGUAAGGAACGGAAUUAAUGAAGCUACUGAAUCUAAGAGCCUGUUUAUCAGCGCUUAGAGGAGGGAAUGUAAAAGGAUAAACUGCACUCGGAGAUGCCCAGGGGUUGCUGCUUUCGGACAGGGGUUCGAUUCA